GAUGAACGCUGACGGCGUGCCUAAUACAUGCAAGUAGAACGCAGUUGCGAACGGGUGAGUAACGCGUAGGUAACUGCCUGGUAGCGGGGGAUAACUAUUGGAAAAGAUAGCUAAUACCGCAUACUACCAGCUGGACCUGCGUUGUAUUAGUGAGGUGGUGAGGUAACGGCUCACCAAGGCAACGAUACAUAGCCGACCUGAUAGGGUGAUCGGCCCAACUUGGACUGAGAGACGGCCCAGACUCCUAGGGGAGUCAGCAGUAGGGAAUCUUCGGCAAUGGGGGGAACCCUGACCGAGCAACUCCGCGUGAGUGAAGAAGGUUUUCGGAUCGUAACGCUCUGUUGUUAAGGAAGCGGUCCUUAACCAGAAAGUGACGGCUAACUACGUGCCAGCAGCCGCGGUAAUAC
rnacentral:rRNA from 1 species